rnacentral:rRNA from 1 species
UACGUAGGGUGCAAGCGUUGUCCGGAAUUAUUGGGCGUAAAGAGCUCGUAGGCGGUUUGUCGCGUCGGCUGUGAAACCUCGGGGCUCAACCCCGAGCCUGCAGUCGAUACGGGCAAACUAGAGUGUGGUAGGGGAGACUGGAAUUCCUGGUGUAGCGGUGAAAUGCGCAGAUAUCAGGAGGAACACCGGCGGCGAAGGCGGGUCUCUGGGCCAUAACUGACGCUGAGGAGCGAAAGCGUGGGGAGCGAACAGG